rnacentral:tRNA from 1 species
UGUUCUGAGGCAUAGUUGGAUAAGGCGCCGGACUAGCGAUUCGGAGUCGUGUGUUCAAAUCUCACCCAGAAUCA